UGAAAAGAACCCCGGGAGGGGAGUGAAAUAGAACCUGAAACCGUGUGCCUACAACCGGUCAAAGCCCCUUAUGAGGGUGAUGACGUGCUUUUUGUAGAACGAGCCAACGAGUUACGGUAUGUAGCAAGGUUAAGUACUUAAGGUACGGAGCCGAAGGGAAACCGAGUCUUAAUAGGGCGACUAGUUGCAUGCCGUAGACCCGAAACCGGGUGACCUAUCCAUGGCCAGGUUGAAGCGGGGGUAAAACCCCGUGGAGGACCGAACCACGUUGCUGUUGAAAAAGCAUGGGAUGAGCUGUGGAUAGCGGAGAAAUUCCAAUCGAACUCGGAGAUAGCUGGUUCUCCUCGAAAUAGCUUUAGGGCUAGCGUCGGAUAUGAGUAGUGGAGGUAGAGCACUGAAUGGGCUAGGGGGCAUAGCGCUUACCGAACCUUAUCAAACUCCGAAUGCCACAUACUAUUAGUCCGGCAGUCAGACUGCGAAAGAUAAGUUCCGUAGUCAAAAGGGAAACAGCCCAGAUCGUCAGCUAAGGUCCCAAAGUGUAAGUUAAGUGGAAAAGGAUGUGGGAUUUCUAAGACAACUAGGAUGUUGGCUUAGAAGCAGCCACUCAUUAAAAGAGUGCGUAAUAGCUCACUAGUCGAGAGAUCCUGCGCCGAAGAUGUCCGGGGCUCAAACUUACCACCGAAGCUACGGGUUCACACUUAUGUGUGAGCGGUAGAGGAGCGUCGUAAUCGGGCUGAAGUCGUACCGUAAGGAGCGGUGGACUGAUUACGAGUGAGAAUGUUGGCAUUAGUAGCGAGAUGUGGGUGAGAAUCCCACAGGCCGAAUAUCUAAGGUUUCCUCAGGAAGGUUCGUCCGCUGAGGGUUAGUCGGGACCUAAGCCGAGGCCGAAAGGCGUAGGCGAUGGACAAUCGGUUGAUAUUCCGAUACCACUACUGAUCGUUAUUAUCGAUGGUGUGACGGAGAAGGAUAGAGUGUGCUAGCUAUUGGAUGCUAGUCUAAGCGUUUAGGGAGUUAGGAAAGGCAAAUCCGUCCUAACAAUUCUGAGGCGUGAUGGGGAAGGUUCUACGGAACCGAAGUACUUGAUUCCAUGCUUCCAAGAAAAGCAUCUAGAGAGAGAUGUAGUGCCCGUACCGCAAACCGACACAGGUAGAUGAGGAGAGAAUCCUAAGGCCGGCGGAAGAAUCACAGUUAAGGAACUAGGCAAAUUGACCCCGUAACUUAGGGAGAAGGGGUGCCUGUGAGAGCAGGCCGCAGAGAAUAGGCCCAAGCAACUGUUUAGCAAAAACACAGGUCUCUGCUAAAGCGAAAGCUGAUGUAUAGGGGCUGACGCCUGCCCGGUGCUGGAAGGUUAAGGGGAACACUUAGCGCAAGCGAAGGUGUGAACUUAAGCCCCAGUAAACGGCGGCCGUAACUAUAACGGUCCUAAGGUAGCGAAAUUCCUUGUCAGGUAAGUUCUGACCCGCACGAAUGGCGUAAUGACUUGGGCACUGUCUCAACUGUGAAUCCGGCGAAGUUGUAGUGCGAGUGAAGAUGCUCGCUACCCGCGAUUGGACGGAAAGACCCCGUAGAGCUUUACUGUAGCUUAGCAUUGAAUUUCGGUAUUGUCUGUACAGGAUAGGUGGGAGACUGGGAAAUCAGGGCGUCAGCCUUGAUGGAGUCGUCCUUGGGAUACCACCCUGACAGUACUGAGGUUCUAACUGGAUGCCAUGAAUCUGGUGACAGGACAUUGUUAGGUGGGCAGUUUGACUGGGGCGGUCGCCUCCUAAAAAGUAACGGAGGCGCCCAAAGGUUCCCUCAGAACGGUCGGAAAUCGUUCGAAGAGUGCAAAGGCAGAAGGGAGCCUGACUGCGACACCCACAAGUGGAGCAGGGACGAAAGUCGGGCUUAGUGAUCCGGUGGUACCUCGUGGGAGGGCCAUCGCUCAACGGAUAAAAGCUACCUCGGGGAUAACAGGCUGAUCUCCCCCAAGAGUCCACAUCGACGGGGAGGUUUGGCACCUCGAUGUCGGCUCGUCGCAUCCUGGGGCUG
rnacentral:rRNA from 1 species